AUGAGAGAAAGCCAGAGAUCAGAGCACUGGAUGUCAUGUCUCAAUUUUCGCUCAUCUGUUACAGGGACCGAACGGAGGCAGAGCAAGGUUGCGGAGAAGGGCUCAAGUCCGUCAGCAUGGAGGCGGGGUCGGCUGAGACGAGAGUCCAGUCUUGAAAAGGUGCAAACCGCAACUGCACUGACUGGCUAUAGGCACGUGUGCACACGCCACGCUGAGGACUUGCACGGCCAAGGAGAUACAUUGAUGGACAUCUUCUUGUCCCAAUGCCUCUCAAGCCAACUAAUGGACAUGUCAACGAACUACCAAAAGAGAAUAUUGGUUUCAUCAUUUUGA
rnacentral:rRNA from 1 species